rnacentral:rRNA from 1 species
AAUGAACGCUGGCGGCAUGCCUAACACAUGCAAGUCGAACGAAGGCUUCGGCCUUAGUGGCGCACGGGUGCGUAACGCGUGGGAAUCUGCCCUCAGGAUCGGAAUAACAGCGAGAAAUUGCUGCUAAUACCGGAUGAUAUCGCGAGAUCAAAGAUUUAUCGCCUGAGGAUGAGCCCGCGUAGGAUUAGCUAGUUGGUGUGGUAAAGGCGCACCAAGGCGACGAUCCUUAGCUGGUCUGAGAGGAUGAUCAGCCACACUGGGACUGAGACACGGCCCAGACUCCUACGGGAGGCAGCAGUGGGGAAUAUUGGACAAUGGGCGAAAGCCUGAUCCAGCAAUGCCGCGUGAGUGAUGAAGGCCUUAGGGUCGUAAAGCUCUCUUACCCGGGAUGAUAAUGACAGUACCGGGAGAAUAAGCUCCGGCUAACUCCGUGCCAGCCGCCGCCGUAA